rnacentral:rRNA from 1 species
CAGCAGCCGCGGGAAUACGGAGGGUGCAAGCGUUAUCCGGAUUCACUGGGUUUAAAGGGUGCGUAGGCGGAUCUGUAAGUCAGUGGUGAAAUCUCCAGGCUUAACCUGGAAACUGCCGUUGAUACUAUAGGUCUUGAAUUUUGUGGAGGUUAGCGGAAUAUGUCAUGUAGCGGUGAAAUGCAUAGAUAUGACAUAGAACACCAAUUGCGAAGGCAGCUGGCUACACAACUAUUGACGCUGAGGCACGAAAGCGUGGGGAUCAAACAGGAUUAGAUACCCGCGUAGUCCCUGUCUCUUAUAC